GUGCCAGCCGCCGCGGUAAUACCGGCAGCCCGAGUGAUGUCCGAUAUUAUUGGGCCUAAAGCGUCCGUAGCUGGCCGAACAAGUCCGUCGGGAAAUCCACGUGCUUAACGCGUGGGCGACCGGCGGAAACUGUUCGGCUUGGGGCCGGAGGACCCAAGGGGUACGUCCGGGGUAGGAGUGAAAUCCCGUAAUCCCGAACGGACCACCGAUGGCAAAAGCACCUCGAGAAGACGGUUCCGACAGUGAGGGACGAAAGCCAGGGUCUCGAACCGGAUUAGAAACCCGAGUAGUCC
rnacentral:rRNA from 1 species